rnacentral:rRNA from 1 species
CAGCAGCAGCCGCGGUAAUGCGAAGGGUGCAAGCGUUAAUCGGAAUUACUGGGCGUAAAGCGUGCGUAGGCGGUUUGUUAAGUCUGUUGUGAAAUCCCCGGGCUCAACCUGGGAAUGGCAAUGGAUACUGGCAAGCUAGAGUGUGUCAGAGGAUGGUGGAAUUCCCGGUGUAGCGGUGAAAUGCGUAGAGAUCGGGAGGAACAUCAGUGGCGAAGGCGGCCAUCUGGGACAACACUGACGCUGAGGCACGAAAGCGUGGGGAGCAAACAGGAUUAGAUACCCGUGUAGUCCCUGUCUCUUAUAC